UACGGAGGGUGCAAGCGUUAUCCGGAUUCACUGGGUUUAAAGGGUGUGUAGGCGGGCAGUUAAGUCAGUGGUGAAAUCUCCGGGCUCAACCCGGAAACUGCCAUUGAUACUAUCUGUCUUGAAUAUUGUUGAGGUAGGCGGAAUAUAUCAUGUAGCGGUGAAAUGCUUAGAUAUGACAUAGAACACCAAUUGCGAAGGCAGCUCACUACACAAUCAUUGACUCUGAGGCACGAAAGCGUGGGGAUCAAACAGG
rnacentral:rRNA from 1 species